UACGGAGGGGGCAAGCGUUGUUCGGAAUUACUGGGCGUAAAGGGCGCGCAGGCGGCUGCUCAAGUCAGGCGUGAAAGGCCUGGGCUCAACCCGGGAAUUGCGCUUGAGACUGGGCUGGCUUGAGUGCGGGAGAGGAUGGUGGAAUUCCCAGUGUAGAGGUGAAAUUCGUAGAUAUCUGGAGGAACACCGGUGGCGAAGGCGGCAUCCUGGACCGGUAUUGACGCUGAGGCGCGAAAGCCAGGGGAGCAAACGGG
rnacentral:rRNA from 1 species